UACGAGGGGGGCAAGCGUUGUUCGGAAUUAUUGGGCGUAAAGGGCGCGUAGGCGGUGCGGUAAGUCUGAUGUGAAAUCUCCGGGCUCAACUCGGAGUCUGCAUCAGAAACUGCCGUGCUUGAGUGUGGGAGAGGUGAGUGGAAUUCCCGGUGUAGCGGUGAAAUGCGUAGAUAUCGUCUGGAACGCCGAAGGUGAAAACAGCUCGCUGGGGCUGCGCUGACGCUGAGACACGAAAGCCAGGGGAGCGAACGGG
rnacentral:rRNA from 1 species